rnacentral:rRNA from 1 species
CCUACGGGUGGCAGCAGUGGGGAAUAUUGGGCAAUGGGCGCAAGCCUGACCCAGCAACGCCGCGUGAAGGAAGAAGGCUUUCGGGUUGUAAACUUCUUUUCUCAGGGACGAAGCAAGUGACGGUACUCGAGGAAUAAGCCUCGGCUAACUACGAGCCAGCAGCCGCGGUAAUACGUAGGUGGCAAUCUUUAUCCGGAUUUACUGGGUGUAAAGGGCGUGUAGGUGGGAAAGCAAGUCAGAUGUGAAAACGAUGGGCCCCACCUGUGGCCUGCCUUUGAAACUGGUUUUCUAGAGUGCUGGAGAGGCAGGCGGAAUGCGUGGUGUAGCGGUGAAAUGCGUAGAUAUUAGGAGGAACACCAGUGGCGAAGGCGGUCUACUGGACAGCAACUGACGCUGAGGCGCGAAAGCGUGGGGAGCAAACAGGAUUAGAUACCCCGGUAGUC